ACACUACCCGGCAGGAAAUAUUGUACAUCGACCUUUAGAAAGAGAUUUCGUAGAGCGCUGUCUCUGUCGUUAAGAUCGACAAAACGUCACAUGGGUAUGAGUGACAGAGACAACGCUCUACGAAUCCUAAAUCUCUUUCUAAAGGUCGUUGCGUAAUAUUUCCCGCCAGAUACUGUAACUACUUGUUAAAUUG